GUUCGCAUGGUGUAGUGGCUAUCACAUCUGUCUAACACACAGAAGGUCCCAGGUUCGAAACCUGGUGCGAACA